rnacentral:rRNA from 1 species
UGGGGAAUCUUGCGCAAAGGGCGAAAGCCUGACGCAGCAACGCCGCGUGCGGGAAGAAGGCCUUAGGGUUGUAAACCGCUUUCAGUAGGAACGAAAAUGACGGUACCUGCAGAAGAAGGUGCGGCCAACUACGUGCCAGCAGCCGCGGUGACACGUAGGCACCAAGCGUUGUCCGGAUUUAUUGGGCGUAAAGAGCUCGUAGGCGGUUGAGUAAGUCGGGUGUGAAAACUCUGGGCUUAACCCAGAGCCGCCACUCGAUACUGCUCUGACUUGAGUUCGGUAGGGGAGCAGGGAAUUCCUAGUGUAGCGGUGAAAUGCGCAGAUAUUAGGAGGAACACCGGUGGCGAAGGCGCUGCUCUGGGCCGAAACUGACGCUGAGGAGCGAAAGCGUGGGUAGCAAACAGG